CUCCAUAAUGACUCCCAGUUUGUGUGUGAGAGAGGUGGAUAGUGUCUGCCUGUCCCUCCAAUGAGGCCAUCCGUGGCUUGGCUGCUGGUUUUCUGAGUGAGACAGAGGAAAUACAAGGAAUUAAACACUCAUCGCAUAGAAGCUCUCUGAAGGGAGUUCUGUUUGAUGGCUGCUCCUCUUCCUCCUCACUGUCUUCCUCCUCCAGAGUUUCACCGCUGGAGAAGUGGAUGAUCCUCUUCUGUUUGGAUAAGAGAUACAGAUGUUUCCAUCUGAGACCAACAACAUGUGCAGUAUCUGAGUCUGUCUGCAGAGUGUGUGUCUGUCCUGACCAACUCACAUGAAGCCAUUUUCUCUCUGGCACUUCUCCAGUGUGUUUUUAAUGAGGCCGCCCAGUUUGAG